UCAGGAACUUUUAUUGACCUUUAUCCCCAUUUCUAAACACAUAUCUUAUUUUACGUUUUAUGCCCCAAAUAUUCCUGUUACAGGGAAAAAACUUCAAAAGCGGCCAUGGGCGAGUCACGGAUCGAAUGUGAGGAAUUCAAUUAUCGAUCUGGGCAGGAAAGUGUCAGAUGUGAAGGAUCUUCUUCAGGUCGAAAUGUAUGGUCCUUUCAUGGUGUUCCCACACGGUGCUGGUGUGGAUGUGGCAUCACUACUUAUGUGUCGAAGACCAGGAAGAAUCCCAAUCGCGAAUUUUAUAGGUGUAAAAUUGCAGUCAAGAAAGGGGGAACAACAUCUCUUCAAGUGGGUCGAUGAAUCUUGGACCGAGGAGAAACUUAUGGAGGAAGCGAGAAAGAGGUCAAUGGAGGAGGAAAUUGAAGGUCGUACAAUGCAUAGUAAUGAUAACCCUGAAGUAGUUGAAGCUUCGAAAGACCGUGGUUGUGUUGGAGUUAUUAAAUUUAUUUGUCCUAAAAUUUGGUAAGUCUUUGUUUGUUUAUGUAUGGAUAAAGAUUGUAGUUUUUGGUCCGUAGGUACCAUAACGCCAUUCUUCAAUUUAUGUAACACAAAUCUCGAACAU